rnacentral:snRNA from 1 species
AGAGUCGGGGGAAACCCGU